GAUCUAGCUUGCUAGAUUGAUGGCGAGUGGCGAACGGGUGAGUAAUACAUCGGAACGUGCCCUGUAGUGGGGGAUAACUAGUCGAAAGAUUAGCUAAUACCGCAUACGACCUGAGGGUGAAAGUGGGGGACCGCAAGGCCUCAUGCUAUAGGAGCGGCCGAUGUCUGAUUAGCUAGUUGGUGAGGUAAAGGCUCACCAAGGCGACGAUCAGUAGCUGGUCUGAGAGGACGAUCAGCCACACUGGGACUGAGACACGGCCCAGACUCCUACGGGAGGCAGCAGUGGGGAAUUUUGGACAAUGGGGGCAACCCUGAUCCAGCAAUGCCGCGUGUGUGAAGAAGGCCUUCGGGUUGUAAAGCACUUUUGUCCGGAAAGAAAUCGCACUUACUAAUAUUAGGUGUGGAUGACGGUACCGGAAGAAUAAGGACCGGCUAACUACGUGCCAGCAGCCGCGGUAAUACGUAGGGUCCAAGCGUUAAUCGGAAUUACUGGGCGUAAAGCGUGCGCAGGCGGUUGUGCAAGACCGAUGUGAAAUCCCCGGGCUUAACCUGGGAAUUGCAUUGGUGACUGCACGGCUAGAGUGUGUCAGAGGGGGGUAGAAUUCCACGUGUAGCAGUGAAAUGCGUAGAGAUGUGGAGGAAUACCGAUGGCGAAGGCAGCCCCCUGGGAUAACACUGACGCUCAUGCAC
rnacentral:rRNA from 1 species